rnacentral:lncRNA from 1 species
CCCGCGCUCCUCCGGGCAGAGCGCGUGUGGCGGCCGAGCACAUGGGCCCGCGGGCCGGGCGGGCUCGGGGCGGCCGGGACGAGGAGGGGCGACGACGAGCUGCGAGCAAAGAUGUGCCCCGGGACCCCCGGCACCUUCCAGUGGAUUUCCUUGCGGAAAGGAUGUUGGCGGUCCCUGUGACCUGUGGAGACACGGCCAGAUCUGCCCUCCAGCCUGAUCUUUUGGCCAGAAGGAGAUUAAAAAGAUGCCCCUCAAGAUGGCUGUGCCUGUCAGCUGCAUGGAGCUUCGUUCAAGUAUUUUCUGAGCCUGAUGGAUUUACAGUGAUCUUCAGUGGUCUGGGGAAUAACGCUGGUGGAACCAUGCACUGGAAUGACACACGCCCGGCACAUUUCAGGAUACUAAAAGUGGUUUUAAGGGAGGCUGUGGCUGAAUGCCUCAUGGAUUCUUACAGCUUGGAUGUCCAUGGGGGACGAAGGACUGCAGCUGGCUGAGAGGGUUGAGAUCUCUGUUUACUUAGAUCUCUGCCAACUUCCUUUGGGUCUCCCUAUGGAAUGUAAGACCCCGACUCUUCCUGGUGAAGCAUCUGAUGCACGUUCCAUCCGGCGCUCAGCUGGGCUUGAGCUGACCAUACUCCCUGGAGCCUUCUCCCGAGGUGCGCGGGUGACCUUGGCACAUACAGCCAUCAUGAUGGUACUUUAAGUGGAGGCUGAAUCAUCUCCCCUUUGAGCUGCUUGGCACGUGGCUCCCUUGGUGUUCCCCUUUUACUGCCAGGACACUGAGAUUUGGAGAGAGUCUCACUCUGUGGUCCAGGCUGAAGUACAGUGGCAUGAUCCCAGGUCACUGCAACCCCCACCUCCCGGGUUCAAGUGAUCCUCCUGCCUCAGCCUCCCGAGUAGCUGGUAUUACAGGCGUGUGCCACAAAGCCUGGCUAAGUUUUGUAUUUUUAGUAGAGACGGGGUUUCACCAUGUUGGCCAGGUUGGUCUCGAACUCCUGACCUCAAGUGAUCCACUCACUUUGGCCUUUCAACGUGCUGGGAUUACAGGCGAGAGUCACCGCACCCGGACGACUCUGACAUUUUUGAAGAGUCCAGAAUCCUGUUACACCUGGGAUUUAGGCACUUUCAAUCUGAAAAAAUACAUAUCCUUUCAGCACUCUGGACGGACUUGAGAACUGUCCUUACGUGACCUAAAGCUGGAGUAUUUUGAGAUUGGAGAAUUAAGGCCAACAGAGAUUUUGAGAAACACAUUGAAGGAUCUGUUAACACUUGAUAUACCCAAUAAAAGCAGUGGUUGUGCCAGUGCUGAUCUGUCUUGAUGUGAAUGUGAACAAUGGGAACCUGAGCUGAGCAGUUAAUGCUAGGGUGACAGAAACUGGACCUCUCCCAAGACAUGUGACAGAGUAAUACAGCAGCCAACUUCUUCGCCAAAUUAAAGUUUUACAAGAUUUAACCUGUCAUCAAGACCUGGGAUUUUGGUGAGCCAGUCUUGGUGCUCUGUGUUCACCUGGUUCAUCUGAGGAGCUGCAUCUACCCUGCCCAUGCCAUAGAUCCUGCCCUGUUUGCUUCUCCUGUUGCUGCUAGUGGACAUGAGGUAACCACAGCCUAGUUCUGUGAUAAGCUCUUCACACCUGUACCCAUAUGGACUGUGGGAGAGUUUCUCUGAUAUGGACUGUGAUGCGGAAGGACAGAAUAACGGGCUCCCAGAUUCACAAGCCCCACCAAGAGGAUCACCCCAGGAACGCUUGGAGGCUGAGGAGUUCACUGAGGCUACUGCAUCUUGAGACUCAGGAUGAAGACCCAGCUUGGGGCUGUCAAAGGUUUUUUGCAUGUCUGACACCCAUGACUCCACCUGGACCUUAUGGCUCCACCCAGAAGCAAUUCAGCCCAACAGGAGGACAGCUUCAACCCAUUACGAUUUCAUCUCUGCCCCAACCACUCAGCAGCAAGCACCUGUUACCUGUCCACCCCCACCCCUUCCCCCAAACUGCCUUUGAAAAAUCCCUAACCUAUGAGCUUUGAAUAAGAUGAGUACGAACUUCAUCGCCCACGUGGCGUGGCCGGCCUCGUGUCUAUUAAAUUCUUUUUCUACUACAA